GUAGGUGGCAAGCGUUGUCCGGAAUUAUUGGGCGUAAAGCGCGCGCAGGCGGUCCUUUAAGUCUGAUGUGAAAGCCCACGGCUCAACCGUGGAGGGUCAUUGGAAACUGGGGGACUUGAGUACAGAAGAGGAAAGCGGAAUUCCAAGUGUAGCGGUGAAAUGCGUAGAGAUUUGGAGGAACACCAGUGGCGAAGGCGGCUUUCUGGUCUGUAACUGACGCUGAGGCGCGAAAGCGUGGGGAGCAAUCAGGGAUUAGAUACCCUGGUAGUCCACGCCGUAAACGAUGAGUGCUAAGUGUUAGGGGGGUUUCCGCCCCCUUAGUGCUGCAGCUAACGCAUUAAGCACUCCGCCUGGGGAGUACGGCCGCAAGGCUG
rnacentral:rRNA from 1 species